CGGACGGCGCGCUGGAGCUCCGCCCGCGUGCGCGUGUCCGCGGUACUCGUACUCACAGCACUGCAGUUGUCCCAUUACGCUGAUUUCUGUGAAUACAGCAUGAAGCCUUAAUAAAGGGGGUAUUGAAUUGCUGACCUUUUCUUCAGUCAGAGGUAAAGACUGCAGAUGGAAGGAAGAACAUUUUCCUUUUUCCAGUGACGGUGCAUAUUGAGUUGAACAGAAAGUGUCAACCGUUGUCCACUUCCGUGUGCUCACCUGAUGCCGCUACAGAUCGUACAUGUGGAUUCCAUAGAUUGCACAUCCAUUUUUUCUUUAAUUAAUGGGCCCUGCCAAGAAGUUAUCCUCUCCCAAAAAAAAAAAAAGGUAUAAUAAUCACGUGUCUGGUUCUGUAACUGUUACGAAAUGCACUUUUGUUUACUCUGACUAGUGCAUUGCUUUGGAGAAAACUGUGUGCUAAUAAAUGUGCAUUUAAAUUAAC